GCUGGUGUACGCUUAAUCGGUAAAGUCGGUGCCUACAUCAUGUAUGCGGGUUCGACCCCCGCCACCAGCA
rnacentral:tRNA from 7 species